rnacentral:rRNA from 1 species
UGUGUUGUUGGGUAGGGGAGCGUUCUGUAAGCCUGUGAAGGUGUGCUGUGAGGUAUGCUGGAGGUAUCAGAAGUGCGAAUGCUGACAUAAGUAACGAUAAAGCGGGUGAAAAGCCCGCUCGCCGGAAGACCAAGGGUUCCUGUCCAACGUUAAUCGGGGCAGGGUGAGUCGACCCCUAAGGCGAGGCCGAAAGGCGUAGUCGAUGGGAAACAGGUUAAUAUUCCUGUACUUGGUGUUACUGCGAAGGGGGGACGGAGAAGGCUAUGUUGGCCGGGCGACGGUUGUCCCGGUUUAAGCGUGUAGGCUGGUUUUCCAGGCAAAUCCGGAAAAUCAAGGCUGAGGCGUGAUGACGAGGCACUACGGUGCUGAAGCAACAAAUGCCCUGCUUCCAGGAAAAGCCUCUAAGCAUCAGGUAACAUCAAAUCGUACCCCAAACCGACACAGGUGGUCAGGUAGAGAAUACCAAGGCGCUUGAGAGAACUCGGGUGAAGGAACUAGGCAAAAUGGUGCCGUAACUUCGGGAGAAGGCACGCUGAUAUGUAGGUGAAGUCCCUCGCGGAUGGAGCUGAAAUCAGUCGAAGAUACCAGCUGGCUGCAACUGUUUAUUAAAAACACAGCACUGUGCAAACACGAAAGUGGACGUAUACGGUGUGACGCCUGCCCGGUGCCGGAAGGUUAAUUGAUGGGGUCAGCGCAAGCGAAGCUCUUGAUCGAAGCCCCGGUAAACGGCGGCCGUAACUAUAACGGUCCUAAGGUAGCGAAAUUCCUUGUCGGGUAAGUUCCGACCUGCACGAAUGGCGUAAUGAUGGCCAGGCUGUCUCCACCCGAGACUCAGUGAAAUUGAACUCGCUGUGAAGAUGCAGUGUACCCGCGGCAAGACGGAAAGACCCCGUGAACCUUUACUAUAGCUUGACACUGAACAUUGAGCCUUGAUGUGUAGGAUAGGUGGGAGGCUUUGAAGUGUGGACGCCAGUCUGCAUGGAGCCGACCUUGAAAUACCACCCUUUAAUGUUUGAUGUUCUAACGUGGACCCGUGAUCCGGGUUGCGGACAGUGUCUGGUGGGUAGUUUGACUGGGGCGGUCUCCUCCUAAAGAGUAACGGAGGAGCACGAAGGUUGGCUAAUCCUGGUCGGACAUCAGGAGGUUAGUGCAAUGGCAUAAGCCAGCUUGACUGCGAGCGUGACGGCGCGAGCAGGUGCGAAAGCAGGUCAUAGUGAUCCGGUGGUUCUGAAUGGAAGGGCCAUCGCUCAACGGAUAAAAGGUACUCCGGGGAUAACAGGCUGAUACCGCCCAAGAGUUCAUAUCGACGGCGGUGUUUGGCACCUCGAUGUCGGCUCAUCACAUCCUGGGGCUGAAGUAGGUCCCAAGGGUAUGGCUGUUCGCCAUUUAAAGUGGUACGCGAGCUGGGUUUAGAACGUCGUGAGACAGUUCGGUCCCUAUCUGCCGUGGGCGCUGGAGAACUGAGGGGGGCUGCUCCUAGUACGAGAGGACCGGAGUGGACGCAUCACUGGUGUUCGGGUUGUCAUGCCAAUGGCACUGCCCGGUAGCUAAAUGCGGAAGAGAUAAGUGCUGAAAGCAUCUAAGCACGAAACUUGCC